GCAUUGCAAAAAAAGGAGAGACAGUUAGCACUCCCCCUUAUCAAGGACGGAAGAGAUCAGUCAAUCUUUCUAACACAUAUGGGCAUUGCUCUCUACUUUAGAGCAACCUAAUUUUU